rnacentral:rRNA from 1 species
CACGUAGGGUGCGAGCGUUGUCCGGAAUUAUUGGGCGUAAAGAGCUCGUAGGCGGUUUGUCGCGUCUGCCGUGAAAGUCCGGGGCUCAACUCCGGAUCUGCGGUGGGUACGGGCAGACUAGAGUGAUGUAGGGGAGUGGGGAAUUCCUGGUGUAGCGGUGAAAUGCGCAGAUAUCAGGAGGAACACCGGUGGCGAAGGCGCCACUCUGGGCCGAAACUGACGCUGAGGAGCGAAAGCGUGGGUAGCAAACAGG